UGGGGGAGUGGUGGAAUGGCAGACACGCAUGCUUCAGGUGCAUGUGCUCGUAAGGGUGUGGGGGUUCAAAUCCCCUCUCCCCCAU
rnacentral:tRNA from 2 species